CCUGGGAUGCCUGUCUCCGGGUCCCUUUGAGCAGUGAGCUGAGCCACCUGGUGGCAGAGAUCCGAGCUUUGCGAGGGCAGCUGGAGCAAAGCAUCCAGAUGAACAGCUGUCUGCGAUUGCAGCUGGAGCAGCAGUUGGAUGGCAGGGGGAGCAAAGCCAGCCUCAGCCCCUCCUCCGCCCAGCAGGAGGACCCUGGAAACAAGCAACUGCUCCUCCAAGACUCCAGUGCUUC